UCCAGACUCCUACGGGAGGCAGCAGUGGGGAAUAUUGGGCAAUGGGCGCAAGCCUGACCCAGCAACGCCGCGUGAAGGAAGAAGGCUUUCGGGUUGUAAACUUCUUUUCUCAGGGACGAAGAAAGUGACGGUACCUGAGGAAUAAGCCACGGCUAACUACGUGCCAGCAGCCGCGGUAAUACGUAGGUGGCAAGCGUUAUCCGGAUUUACUGGGUGUAAAGGGCGGGUAGGCGGGAAAGCAAGUCAGAUGUGAAAACCAGGGGCUCAACCUGUGGCCUGCAUUUGAAACUGUCUUUCUUGAGUGCAGGAGAGGCAGGCGGAAUUCCUCGUGUAGCGGUGAAAUGCGUAGAUAUGAGGAGGAACACCAGUGGCGAAGGCGGUCUGCUGGACAGCAACUGACGCUGAGGCGCGAAAGCGUGGGGAGCAAACAGGAUUAGAUACCCCGGUA
rnacentral:rRNA from 1 species